rnacentral:rRNA from 1 species
UACGGAGGGUGCAAGCGUUAUCCGGAUUCACUGGGUUUAAAGGGUGCGUAGGAGGGCAGGUAAGUCAGUGGUGAAAUCUCCAAGCUUAACUUGGAAACUGCCGUUGAUACUAUCUGUCUUGAAUACCGUGGAGGUGAGCGGAAUAUGUCAUGUAGCGGUGAAAUGCUUAGAUAUGACAUAGGACACCAAUUGCGAAGGCAGCUCGCUACACGAAUAUUGACUCUGAGGCACGAAAGCGUGGGGAUCAAACAGG